rnacentral:pre_miRNA from 2 species
GCUUGUGGAUGAGCAAAGAAAGUGGUUGCUUGAAAGGGAAUCUACUCCUGGUGCAGAUGCCGUGAA